rnacentral:rRNA from 1 species
UAGGGAAUCUUCCACAAUGGACGCAAGUCUGAUGGAGCAACGCCGCGUGAGUGAAGAAGGUUUUCGGACCGUAAAGCUCUGUUGUUGGUGAAGAAGGAUAGAGGUAGUAACUGGCCUUUAUUUGACGGUAAUCAACCAGAAAGUCACGGCUAACUACGUGCCAGCAGCCGCGGUAAUACGUAGGUGGCAAGCGUUGUCCGGAUUUAUUGGGCGUAAAGCGAGCGCAGGCGGAAGA